GGGGUUGUUGCGUAACUUGGCAGCGCGUCAGGCUCCAGACCUGAAAAUCUGGGUUCAAAUCCCAGCAACCCCA
rnacentral:tRNA from 1 species